AGGAGGAGGAGGAGGAGGAGGAAGAGGAGGAGGAGAUGCCCACCUGUGGUCAUUUCCAGGAGCAGUAGGACCAAAGUGGCAUCCUGAAGGGCAUCCCCCAGACCAGCAGCUCCUGGUGCUCCGGCAUCUCUGGGUUAGGGGAUCCCAGCAGCGCCUAUGGAUUGAAAUCGGCCUGGAGGGGUUUCUGGGGCCUUGAAGAAGAACAUUUCCAGGGAUUUCCAUCUCCAUCCCUGCAGGUGUCCAGGCUGGCCAAGCCAGGUCCACAAUCUGCUCUUGCCAGGAUGUUAAACAUCCAAGGGAAAGAAAUAGAACUUGCAGGAAGUCCAGGAAUUAUGACACUGCUAAUCAGAACUAAUUAAAUUGACUCAGGAAGUUUCAAGGGAACGGAUCCCAGUGGGAAAAUCACUCUGAGGGUCUCUGCAGGAAAUCCACGGUGGUUUUCCAUGAAAUGUUCCUCCAGGGAGAGGCAGAGUGUGGAAAAGGACAGGCACAAGGAACAGCGCCUGCUGCAGGCUGGGAAUUCUGGCUGUGGGCUCCAGCUGGAAUCCUGCAGGAAUUCGGAUUGAAAAGCUCCCAGCUCCGCACCCAUGGGAGGGUGAAAGCACCGAUGGAUUCUGAAAUGGAGCAGCCCAGCAAGGAGGCUGCUCCAGGAACGAGUCACGUUGUGCCAGGAGCUGCUUAGAAAAGGUUGGGCUAAGGCCCUUCUGGAAUAUUCCAUCCAUCCCUAGGGAGCACUGGUCAUCACCGACACCGAGACAGCGAUUUUGGCAUGGCCAGAGGGUGGACAGUGCUCUGCAGCAAAGUCCACGUGAGGAGAGAAGACACUGAGAGCCGAAACCUCACGCCUGUGACCACC
rnacentral:lncRNA from 1 species